GAAGUCGCCGAAGACAGAGCGAUGGCAGUUUUGGAGGCCUCGCUCUGGGACCGACCCGAGGCCACAGUGCCCCCGCGGUAGACCGGACUUGGGUGACGGGCUCCGGGCUCCCGAGGGAUGGAAGGGUCUAAGACGUCCAACAACAGCACCAUGCAGGUGAGCUUCGUGUGCCAGCGCUGCAGCCAGCCCCUGAAACUGGACACGAGUUUCAAGAUCCUGGACCGUGUCACCAUCCAGGAACUCACAGCUCCAUUACUUACCACAGCCCAGGCGAAACCAGGAGGAAGAGACUAACUCAGGAGAGGAGCCAUUUAUUGAAACUCCUCGCCAGUAUGGUGUCUCUUGCAGAUUCAUCCCCCCAGCCAGGAUAAUGUCCACAGAAAGUGCCAACAGCUUCACUCUGACUGGAGAGGCAACUGAUGGCAGCACCAUGGAGAACCUCAGCCGAAGACUGAAGGUCACUGGAGACCUUUUUGACAUCAUGUCAGGCCAGACAGAUGUGGAUCACCCACUCUGUGAGGAAUGCACAGAUACUCUUUUAGACCAGCUGGACACUCAGCUCAACGCCACUGAAAAUGAGUGUCAGAACUACUAACGCUGUUUGGAGAUCUUAGAGCAAAUGAAUGAGGAUGACAGUGAACAGCUACAGAUGGAGCUAAAGGAGCUAGCACUAGAGGAGGAGAGGCUGAUCCAGGAGCUGGAAGAUGUGGAAAAGAACCGCAAGAUGGUGGCAGAAAAUCUCGAGAAGGCCCAGGAUGAGGCUGAGAGACUGGAUCAGGAGGAAACUCAGUAUCAGAGAGAAUACAGUGAAUUUAAACGGCAACAGCUGGAGCUGGAUGAUAAGCUGAAGAAUGUGGAAAACCAGAUGCGUUAUGCACAGAUUCAGCUGGAUAAGCUGAAGAAAACCAGUGUCUUUAAUGCAACCUUCCACAUCUGGCACAGUGGACAGUUUGGCACAAUCAAUAACCUCAGGCUGGGUCGCCUGCCCAGUGUUCCCGUAGAACGGAAUGAGAUUAAUGCUGCUUGGGGCCGGACUGUGUUGCUGCUCCAUGCUCUGGCCAAUAAGAUGGGUCUGAAAUUUCAGAGAUAUCGACUUGUUCCUUACGGAAACCAUUCAUAUCUGGAGUCUCUGACAGACAAAUCUAAGGAGCUGCCGUUAUACUGUUCUGGGGGGUUGCGGUUUUUCUGGGACAACAAGUUUGACCAUGCAAUGGUGGCUUUCCUGGACUGUGUGCAGCAGUUCAAAGAAGAGGUUGAGAAAGGCGAGACACGUUUUUGUCUUCCCUACAGGAUGGAUGUGGAGAAAGGCAAAAUCGAAGACACAGGAGGCAGCGGCGGCUCCUAUUCCAUCAAAACCCAGUUUAACUCUGAGGAGCAGUGGACAAAAGCUCUCAAGUUCAUGCUGACGAAUCUUAAGUGGGGUCUUGCCUGGGUAUCCUCACAAUUUUAUAACAAAUGACUUUUUUCCUUAGGGGGAGGUUUGCCUUAAAGGCUUUUAAUUUUGUUUUGUUUGCAAACAUGUUUUAAAUUAAAUUCAGGUAAUAUUAAACAGUACAUGUUUGCAAUACCAAAAAAAAAAAA